CCUACGGGUGGCAGCAGUGAGGAAUAUUGGUCAAUGGACGAGAGCCUGAACCAGCCAAGUAGCGUGAAGGAUGACUGCCCUACGGGUUGUAAACUUCUUUUAUAUGGGAAUAAAGUGAUCCACGUGUGCCUUUUUGUAUGUACUUUAUGAAUAAGGAUCGGCUAACUCCGUGCCAGCAGCCGCGGUAAUACGGAGGAUCCGAGCGUUAUCCGGAUUUAUUGGGUUUAAAGGGAGCGUAGGUGGGCUGUUAAGUCAGAUGUGAAAGCUGGGGGCUCAACCGGCGAAUUGCAGUUGAAACUGGUUGUCUUGAGUACAGGAGAGGUAGGCGGAAUUCGUGGUGUAGCGGUGAAAUGCGUAGAUAUUAGGAAGAACACCGGUGGCGAAGGCAGUCUACUGGACUGCAACUGACGGUGAGGCGCGAAAGCGUGGGGAGCAAACAGGAUUAGAUACCCGAGUAGUC
rnacentral:rRNA from 1 species